rnacentral:rRNA from 1 species
UACGGGGGGGGCAAGCGUUGUUCGGAAUUACUGGGCGUAAAGGGCCAGUAGGCGGCCAACUAAGUCGAAUGUGAAAUCCCCAGGCUCAACUUGGGAACUGCAUCCGAUACUGGAUGGCUUGAAUUCGGGGGAGGGAUGCAGAAUUCCAGGUGUAGCGGUGAAAUGCGUAGAUAUCUGGAGGAACACCUGUGGCGAAAGCGGCUCACUGGACCACAACUGACGCUGAUGCACGAAAGCUAGGGGAGCAAACAGG